CCGGCACGGGUGAGUAACGCGUAUGCAACCUACCUAUCAGAGGGGAAUAACCGGCGAAAGUCGGACUAAUACCGCAUAAAACAGGGGUUCCACAUGGAAAUAUUUGUUAAAGAAUUAUCGCUGAUAGAUGGGCAUGCGUUCCAUUAGAUAGUUGGUGAGGUAACGGCUCACCAAGUCCACGAUGGAUAGGGGUUCUGAGAGGAAGGUCCCCCACACUGGUACUGAGACACGGACCAG
rnacentral:rRNA from 1 species